rnacentral:rRNA from 1 species
GGUUGAUCCUGCCAGUAGUCAUAUGCUUGUCUUAAAGAUUAAUCCAUGCAUGUGUAAGUAUAAGUAUUGUGCAGCGAAACUGCGAAUGGCUCAUUACAUCAGUUAUAAUUUAUUUGAUAAUCGAAAGUUACAUGGAUAACCGUGACAAAUUACAGCUAAUACAUGCAGUCAGACCUGGUCCAAGGGUCGUAAUUAUUAGUAUUAAACCAUUUCCGCAAGGAGUGUGAUGAUUCAUAAUAAUCGAACGAAUCGCCUGGUGUGCGAUAAAUCAUUCAAGUUUCUGCCCUAUCAGCUUUGGAUGGUAGUGUAUUGGACUACCAUGGCAGUCACGGGUAACGGAGAAUUAGGGUUCGAUUCCGGAGAGGGAGCCUGAGAAACGGCUACCACAUCUACGGAAGGCAGCAGGAGCGAAAAUUGCCCAAUCCCGACACGGGGAGGCAGUGACGAGAAAUAACAACUCUUGGUUAUUCUAAGAAGUGUAAUGAGGAUAAUUUAAAACCCUUACCGAAAGCAAUUGGAGGGCAAGUCUGGUGCCAGCAGCCGCGGUAAUUCCAGCUCCAAUAGCGUAUAUUAAAGUUGUUGCAGUUAAAAAGCUCGUAGUUGAAGUUCUGGCUGCUCGACCCUCGAGCUCUGUAGCCGGGGGCUCGGCAGUCAUCCGCUUGCAAACAUAUGUUCGCCUUUAACCGGGCGGCUAUGUGAGCAAGCAUUUUACCUUGAGAAAAACAGAGUGUUCCAGGCAGGUUUGUCCGGAAUGCAUUAGCAUGGAAUAAUAGAAUAUGACUGAAGUCGAUUUAUUGGUUUGAGGCUUUAGUAAUGAUUAAUAGGAACAGUCGGGGGCAUUGGUACUUGUCAGUCAGAGGUGAAAUUCUAGGAUUUGACAAAGACUAACAAAUGCGAAAGCAAUUGCCAAGGAUGUUUUCAUUAAUCAAGAACGAAAGUUAGGGGAUCAAAGACGAUCAGAUACCGUCCUAGUCUUAACUAUAAACUAUACCGACUCGGAUUCAGAUGAAUCAUAAAGUUCAUUUGGGACCGUAGGAGAAAUCAAAGUUUUUGGGUUCUGGGGGAAGUAUGGUCGCAAGGCUGAAACUUAAAGGAAUUGACGGUUUUGCACCACCAUGGAGUGGAGUCUGCGGCUUAAUUUGACUCAACACUGGGAAACUCAUCAGGGCAAGAAGAUUGUAGGAUUGACAGAUUGAGAGUUCUUUCUUGAUUGGUCUAGUGGUGGUGCAUGGCCGUUCUUAGUUGGUGGAGUGAUUUGUCUGGUUAAUUCCGUUAACGAACGAGACCUUAACCUGCUAACUAGUAUAUCGAUGACAAAUCGAUAUUACUUCUUAGAGGGACUAUGUGAUGUAAUCACAUGGAAGUUUGAGGCAAUAACAGGUCUGUGAUGCCCUUAGAUGUCCUGAGCUGCACGCGUACUACAAUGGUGCUUUCAACGAGCUUUUCCUGAUCCGAAAGGAUUUGGGUAAUCUUUUUAGUGAGCACCGUGUUUGGGAUAGAUCUUUGUAAUUAUGGAUCUUGAACUAGGAAUUCCUAGUAAGCGCGCGUCAUCAGCGCGUGCUGAUUACGUCCCUGCAAAAUGUACACACCGCCCGUCGCUAUUACCGAUUGAGUGUAAAGGUGAACCUUCUCGAUAGACGCAAGUUUAAAAAUUAAGUAAACCUUUGCACUUAGAGGAAAUAAAAGUCGUAACAAGGUUUCCGUAGGUGAACCUGCAGAAGGAUCAA